rnacentral:rRNA from 1 species
UGAUCCUACGGGGGGCAGCAGUGGGGAAUAUUGCACAAUGGGGGAAACCCUGAUGCAGCAACGCCGCGUGAAGGAAGACGGUUUUCGGAUUGUAAACUUCUGUUCUUAGUGAAGAAGAAUGACGGUAGCUAAGGAGCAAGCCACGGCUAACUACGUGCCAGCAGCCGCGGUAAUACGUAGGUGGCAAGCGUUGUCCGGAAUUACUGGGUGUAAAGGGAGCGUAGGCGGGAAAGCAAGUUGAAUGUUUAAGGUACGGGCUCAACCUGUACAAGCGUUCAAAACUGUUUUUCUUGAGUGGAGUAGAG